rnacentral:lncRNA from 1 species
CACGGACGUCAGUUCGUCGAGUGGGACUGGAUUAAAAACUGUGUUUUUGUCAGUUUGUGGUAAUCUUCAACAUAUAUGACAAAACCUAUAUAAGAUUUUUAAAGUUUUUUGCUUCCUUAGACGAGCGCUAUGAUGCAAAAUGCCGUCAAAAUUAGUCCUACCAAUUUUCGGGUGACGUCUGUGUUGAGGACGAAACGUGAAGGGGACGAAACGGCAAGGAGACGAAACGGCAAGGGGACGAAACGGCAAGGGGACGAAACGGCAAGGGGACGAAACGGCAAGGGGACGAAACGGCAAG